GAGAUGGACUGGUGCCUUCGGGAACUGUGAGACAGGUGCUGCAUGGCUGUCGUCAGCUCGUGUUGUGAAAUGUUGGGUUAAGUCCCGCAACGAGCGCAACCCUUAUCCUUUGUUGCCAGCGGUCCGGCCGGGAACUCAAAGGAGACUGCCAGUGAUAAACUGGAGGAAGGUGGGGAUGACGUCAAGUCAUCAUGGCCCUUACGACCAGGGCUACACACGUGCUACAAUGGCGCAUACAAAGAGAAGCGACCUCGCGAGAGCAAGCGGACCUCAUAAAGUGCGUCGUAGUCCGGAUUGGAGUCUGCAACUCGACUCCAUGAAGUCGGAAUCGCUAGUAAUCGUGGAUCAGAAUGCCACGGUGAAUACGUUCCCGGGCCUUGUACACACCGCCCGUCACACCAUGGGAGUGGGUUGCAAAAGAAGUAGGUAGCUUAACCUUCGGGAGGGCGCUUACCACUUUGUGAUUCAUGACUGGGGUGAAGUCGUAACAAGGUAACCGUAGGGGAACCUGC
rnacentral:rRNA from 1 species